AGUGAACGCUGGCGGCGUGCUUAACACAUGCAAGUCGAACGAGAACGGGUUAUAGCUUGCUAUAAUUGUCAGCUAAGUGGCGCACGGGUGAGUAAUGUAUAGGUAAUAUGCCUCUUACUAAGGGAUAACAAAUGGAAACGUUUGCUAAUACCUUAUACUCCUUAUUAACAGAAGUUAAUAAGGGAAAGAUUUAUUGGUAAGAGAUUAGCCUGUAUUGUAUCAGUUAGUUGGUGGGGUAAUGGCUUAACAAGACUAUGACACAUAACUGGUUUGAGAGGAUGAUCAGUCACCCUGGAAAUGAGCAACGGUCCAGACGCCUACGGGAGGCAGCAGUGGGGAAUAUUGCACAAUGGACGAAAGUCUGAUGCAGCAACGCCGCGUGGAGGAUGACACAUUUCGGUGCGUAAACUCCUUUUAUAUGAGAAGAUAAUGACGGUAUUAUAUGAAUAAGCACCGGCUAACUCCGUGCCAGCCGCCGCCGUAA
rnacentral:rRNA from 1 species